CUUUUGGAUAACAGUGCCAAACCACCCUUCCAGAAUGUGCAGGGACAGCAUAGUUGUAAAAAAAGACAGUUUUCACAAUCUGGGGAUGACUACUCAGCAAUUAAGGAGCUAUAACACACCGCUCUCUGGAUGACAUCCUGCAACUGCCAGGAAUUGGGAGUGGCGGGCACAGGCGUGGCAUGAGAUGCGUGGACAAGAGGAAGCAAAGGGAAAACAAAAGGAAAGCUGUCACAGAAUAUGUGCUCCUGUGUCAAACAGCAAAACAAGUACUGGCAAACGCUGAAGACAAAUGCUGAAGAGGAGCCAUCAACUCAAGCUGCUACUGUACUCCUGACAAGGCAGGUUUCAAAGAGAAUUACCUGCUAGUACUCCUAAUGCAGUAGAACUGGGAUUUCACCGCUGGGGGACAUUAAGAGAGUCUUUGGUUUCAAACAACCACUGACAUCCAGGAAAAGGAAUAGCAGCAUGAGUAUACCAGGCUCAAAUAUAUGAUACCUUCUGCACUGGUAGAUUUUGACUGUGGAGAUCUCGCCUCCUCUCUGAGUGACUGACGGAAAUGAACCACAACACGAUUUGAAGUUGGGAGCUAACAACUGUGAAAUAUUUGCAUUUCAGUUGGCUUUUUAUUUUCUCAAGCCUGAACGGCAUAGGCUGCUUUUCCAAAGGCACUCCUGAGUAAGACUCAUUCAGACAGGAAUUAGAGUGUUAGAUGCAGACUGGUAUCCCUGUAAGACUGCUUGGUCUAUCAAGCUCACUAGCAACGUCCUGCACAUCCUAGCUUUUUGAACAUUCAAACCUUGCUCUUAAAAUAGCCUGCUUUAAGUUAAAUCAUACACUUCCACAUCAAACUGGGAGAGCGGUAAGAGGUGCCAAACCCUUCUGUACCCCUGGAGCUAGUCUGCACUGCAAGUGGUUAAUUAAAAGACCAGUGUUUUGUAUGAAAUCUCAGCGUAAGAAAUCUCAGUUGUUAUCUUGACCAACUGCAUAUAUUGGCAUCAGUUUCUGAAAAAAUGGCAACACCUGACAGGAGGAGGAAGGACACGCUGAAAUUGAAGAGGUGAGGGACUGUCUGUUACAACUUGAAAUAUCAGCCAAGAAACAUCCUUUUUCCUUGCUCAUCUUUCAGGGUGCAAAGGUUAUUCUAAUG
rnacentral:lncRNA from 1 species